CUGAUGUGGAGGGGGAAACCCCGCAAACUGGUUGAUCCCAGACUGCCAAGAAAAGCCUCGUAGCGAGUUUUUCAGGUGACCAUACCGUAAACCGACACAGGUAGGCGAGGAGAGAAUCCUAAGGCGCGUGAGAGAACCCUGGUUAAGGAACUCGGCAAAAUGACACCGUAACUUCGGGAGAAGGUGUGCCCUCAUUAGGUGAAGGAACCUGCUUCUGGAGCCGAGGGGGGUUGCAGAGAAGAGGCGGUAGCGACUGUUUACUAAAAACACAGGACUCUGCUAAAUCGUAAGAUGACGUAUAGGGUCUGACGCCUGCCCGGUGCUGGAAGGUUAAGGGGUGGUGUUAUUGGGGGUAACCUCGAGAAGCGCUAAACCGAAGCCCCAGUAAACGGCGGCCGUAACAAUAACGGUCCUAAGGUAGCGAAAUUCCUUGUCGGGUAAGUUCCGACCUGCACGAAUGGCGUAACGACUUCCGCGCUGUCUCAACCAGGGACUCAGUGAAAUUGCAGUCUCGGUGCAGAUACCGAGUACCCGCGGCUAGACGGAAAGACCCCGUGCACCUUUACUACAGCUUGGCAUUGGAUUUUGGGCGUGUAUGUGUAGGAUAGGUGGGAGGCAAUGAAGUGGGGGCGCCAGCUCUCAUGGAGCCACCCUUGAAAUACCACCCUUAUGCGUUUAGAGUUCUAACCUUGACGAGUGAAGCCUCGUUGGGGACAGUGCCUGGUGGGUAGUUUGACUGGGGCGGUCGCCUCCCAAAAGGUAACGGAGGCGCGCGAAGGUUCCCUCAGGCUGAUUGGAAACCAGCCGUAGAGUGUAAAGGCAGAAGGGAGCCUGACUGUGAGAGAGACAUCUCGAGCAGGGACGAAAGUCGGUCUUAGUGAUCCGGCGGUUCUGAAUGGAAGGGCCGUCGCUCAACGGAUAAAAGGUACGCCGGGGAUAACAGGCUGAUCUCCCCCAAGAGUUCACAUCGACGGGGAGGUUUGGCACCUCGAUGUCGGCUCAUCGCAUCCUGGGGCUGGAGCAGGUCCCAAGGGUUCGGCUGUUCGCCGAUUAAAGCGGUACGUGAGCUGGGUUUAAAACGUCGUGAGACAGUUUGGUCCCUAUCUACCGCGGGUGGAGGAAUUUUGAGGGGAACUGUCCCUAGUACGAGAGGACCGGGAUGGACGAACCUCUGGUGUACCAGUUGUCACGCCAGUGGCAGCGCUGGGUAGCUAAGUUCGGACGGGAUAACCGCUGAAAGCAUCUAAGCGGGAAGCCCCCCCCAAGAUGAGAAUUCCCCUCUGGAGCGAUCCAGGCUAAAGGCCCCUCGUAGACCACGAGGUUGAUAGGUCGGGUGUGUAAGCACAGUAAUGUGUUGAGCUAACCGAUCCUAAUGGGCCGUGCGGCUUGACCAU
rnacentral:rRNA from 1 species